rnacentral:rRNA from 1 species
CCUACGGGUGGCAGCAGUGGGGAAUAUUGCGCAAUGGGCGAAAGCCUGACGCAGCGACGCCGCGUGAGGGAUGAAGGUCUUCGGAUUGUUAAACUCCGUCUGCAGGGAAGAACGGUCACUGUGCUAAUCAGCAGUGAAUUGACGGUACCUGCAAAGGAAGCACCGGCUAACUCCGUGCCAGCAGCCGCGGUAAUACGGAGGGUGCGUGCGUUGAUCGGAAUUACUGGGAGUGAUGCGCUCGUAGGCGGUAUGUCAAGCCAAGGGUGAAAUGCCCGCGCCUAACGUGGGAACUGCCUUUGAAACUGGCAAACUUGAGUGUGCGAGAGGAAAGUGGAAUUCGAGGUGUAGGGGUGAAAUGCGUAGAUAUCAGGAGGAACAUCGGUGGCGAAGGCGACGAUCUGGCGCAUAACUGACGCUGAGGAGCGAAAGCGUGGGUAGCAAACAGGAUUAGAUACCCCAGUAGUC